rnacentral:rRNA from 1 species
UACGAAGGGGGCGAGCGUUGUUCGGAAUUACUGGGCGUAAAGGGCGCGUAGGCGGCCGAUCAAGUCAGAUGUGAAAGUCCUGGGCUUAACCUGGGGACUGCAUUUGAUACUGAUUGGCUUGAAUUCGGGAGAGGAUAGCGGAAUUCCCAGUGUAGAGGUGAAAUUCGUAGAUAUUGGGAAGAACACCGGUGGCGAAGGCGGCUCACUGGCUCGUUUCUGACGCUCAGGCGCGACAGCGUGGGGAUCAAACAGG